CCUACGGGAGGCAGCAGUCGAGAAUCAUUCACAAUGGGGGAAACCCUGAUGGUGCGACGCCGCGUGGGGGAAUGAAGGUCUUCGGAUUGUAAACCCCUGUCAUGUGGGAGCAAAUUAAAACGAUCGUACCACAAGAGGAAGAGACGGCUAACUCUGUGCCAGCAGCCGCGGUAAUACAGAGGUCUCAAGCGUUGUUCGGAAUCACUGGGCGUAAAGCGUGCGUAGGCUGUUUCGUAAGUCGUGUGUGAAAGGCGCGGGCUCAACCCGCGGACGGCACAUGAUACUGCGAGACUAGAGUAAGGGAGGGGGAACCGGAAUUCUCGGUGUAGCAGUGAAAUGCGUAGAUAUCGAGAGGAACACUCGUGGCGAAGGCGGGUUCCUGGACAGUAACUGACGCUGAGGCACGAAGGCCAGGGGAGCGAAAGGGAUUAGAUACCCUUGUAGUC
rnacentral:rRNA from 1 species